GUGAGUAACACGUGAGCAACCUGCCCCUGACUCUGGGAUAAGCGCUGGAAACGGUGUCUAAUACUGGAUAUGUGCCACGGCCGCAUGGUCUGUGGUUGGAAAGAUUUUUCGGUUGGGGAUGGGCUCGCGGCCUAUCAGCUUGUUGGUGAGGUAAUGGCUCACCAAGGCGUCGACGGGUAGCCGGCCUGAGAGGGUGACCGGCCACACUGGGACUGAGACACGGCCCAGACUCCUACGGGAGGCAGCAGUGGGGAAUAUUGCACAAUGGGCGGAAGCCUGAUGCAGCAACGCCGCGUGAGGGAUGACGGCCUUCGGGUUGUAAACCUCUUUUAGCAGGGAAGAAGCGAAAGUGACGGUACCUGCAGAAAAAGCACCGGCUAACUACGUGCCAGCAGCCGCGGUAAUACGUAGGGUGCAAGCGUUAUCCGGAAUUAUUGGGCGUAAAGAGCUCGUAGGCGGUUUGUCGCGUCUGCCGUGAAAUCCUCAGGCUCAACCUGAGGCUUGCGGUGGGUACGGGCAGACUUGAGUGCGGUAGGGGAGAUUGGAAUUCCUGGUGUAGCGGUGGAAUGCGCAGAUAUCAGGAGGAACACCGAUGGCGAAGGCAGAUCUCUGGGCCGUAACUGACGCUGAGGAGCGAAAGGGUGGGGAGCAAACAGGCUUAGAUACCCUGGUAGUCCACCCCGUAAACGUUGGGAACUAGUUGUGGGGUCCUUUCCACGGAUUCCGUGACGCAGCUAACGCAUUAAGUUCCCCGCCUGGGGAGUACGGCCGCAAGGCUAAAACUCAAAGGAAUUGACGGGGACCCGCACAAGCGGCGGAGCAUGCGGAUUAAUUCGAUGCAACGCGAAGAACCUUACCAAGGCUUGACAUACACGAGAACGGGCCAGAAAUGGUCAACUCUUUGGACACUCGUGAACAGGUGGUGCAUGGUUGUCGUCAGCUCGUGUCGUGAGAUGUUGGGUUAAGUCCCGCAACGAGCGCAACCCUCGUUCUAUGUUGCCAGCACGUUAUGGUGGGAACUCAUGGGAUACUGCCGGGGUCAACUCGGAGGAAGGUGGGGAUGACGUCAAAUCAUCAUGCCCCUUAUGUCUUGGGCUUCACGCAUGCUACAAUGGCCGGUACAAUGGGCUGCGAUACCGUGAGGUGGAGCGAAUCCCAAAAAGCCGGUCCCAGUUCGGAUCGUAGUCUGCAACUCGACUACGUGAAGUCGGAGUCGCUAGUAAUCGCAGAUCAGCAACGCUGCGGUGAAUACGUUCCCGGGUCUUGUACACACCGCCCGUCAAGUCAUGAAAG
rnacentral:rRNA from 2 species